rnacentral:sRNA from 1 species
UGCAUUUGAAGCCCAUGAGGAUGAGAACCUCCGGGGGCGGGGAGGUUCGACUCGAGAGAAGCGAGAGAACGUUGCGCCAGCAACGGCCCGCAGGGCGAGCCACGAAGUGGCGAGUAAUCCUCUAUCACCGACCA